CUAGGGGCUGAGUAAUGCGUGACCGACCCAUGCCCCAUACACCGGAGUUAUAGCUCCUGGAAACGCGGUGGUAAUGCCGGAUGCUCCAGUUGAUCGCAUGGUCUUCUGGGACGGCUUUCGCGGUAUGGGAUGGGGUCGCGUCCUAUCAGCUUGACGGCGGGGUAACGGCCCACCGUGGCUUCGACGGGUAGCCGGCCUGAGAGGGGCGACCGGCCACAUUGGGCUACUGAGAUACGGCCCAGACUCCUACGGGAGGCAGCAGUGGGAUAUUGCACAAUGGGCGCAAGCCUGAUGCAGCGACGCCGCGUGAGGGAUGGAGGCCUUCCGGGUUGUAAACCUCUUUUAUCGGGGAGCAAGCGAGAGUGAGGGUACCCGUUGAAUAAGCACCGGCUAACUACCCGUGCCAGCAGCCGCGGUAAUACGUAGGGUGAGGCCGUUAUCCGGAAUUAUUGGCCGUAGAAGGGCUCGUAGGCGGUUCGUCGCGUCCGGUGUGAAAGUCCGCUUAACGGUGCAUCCGCGCCGGGUACGGGCGGGCUUGAGUGCGGUAGGGGAGACUGGAAUUCCCGGUGUAACGGUGGAAUGAAUUGUAGAUAUCGGGAAGAACACCAAUGGCGAAGGCAGGUCUCUGGGCCGUUACUGAUGAGCCCUA
rnacentral:rRNA from 1 species